AGCGAACGCUGGCGGCAGGCCUAACACAUGCAAGUCGAACGAACUCUUCGGAGUUAGUGGCGGACGGGUGAGUAACACGUGGGAACGUGCCUUUAGGUUCGGAAUAACUCAGGGAAACUUGUGCUAAUACCGAAUGUGCCCUUCGGGGGAAAGAUUUAUCGCCUUUAGAGCGGCCCGCGUCUGAUUAGCUAGUUGGUGAGGUAAAGGCUCACCAAGGCGACGAUCAGUAGCUGGUCUGAGAGGAUGAUCAGCCACAUUGGGACUGAGACACGGCCCAAACGCCUACGGGAGGCAGCAGUGGGGAAUCUUGCGCAAUGGGCAAAAGCCUGACGCAGCCAUGCCGCGUGAAUGAUGAAGGUCUUAGGAUUGUAAAAUUCUUUCACCGGGGACGAUAAUGACGGUACCCGGAGAAGAAGCCCCGGCUAACUUCGUGCCAGCCGCCGCCGUAACAC
rnacentral:rRNA from 1 species